rnacentral:rRNA from 1 species
GAUGAACGCUGGCGGCGUGCUUAACACAUGCAAGUCGAACGAACCUUCGGGUUAGUGGCGGACGGGUGAGUAACGCGUGAGAAUCUGCCCUCAGGAGGGGGAUAACGGUUGGAAACGACCGCUAAUACCCCAUAUGCCGCGAGGUGAAAUGAAUUUCGCCUGAGGAUGAGCUCGCGUCUGAUUAGCUAGUUGGUGGGGUAAAGGCCUACCAAGGCAUCGAUCAGUAGCUGGUCUGAGAGGAUGAUCAGCCACACUGGGACUGAGACACGGCCCAGACUCCUACGGGAGGCAGCAGUGGGGAAUUUUCCGCAAUGGGCGAAAGCCUGACGGAGCAACGCCGCGUGAGGGAUGAAGGCCUC